rnacentral:SRP_RNA from 1 species
GCCGGGCGCGGUGGCUCAAGCCUGUAAUCCCAGCACUUUGGGAGGCCGAGACGAGUGGAUCACGAGGUCAGGAGAUCGAGACCAUCCUGGCUAACACGGUGAAACCCCAGCUCUACUAAAAAAUACAAAAAACUAGCCGGNNNNNNNNNNCCGGCUAGUUUUUUGUAUUUUUUAGUAGAGCUGGGGUUUCACCGUGUUAGCCAGGAUGGUCUCGAUCUCCUGACCUCAUGAUCCACCCGCCUCAG